UACGGGGGGAGCAAGCGUUGUUCGGAUUUACUGGGCGUAAAGGGCGCGUAGGCGGCCACCGCAAGUCGACUGUGAAAUCUCUGGGCUUAACCCAGAAAGGUCAGCCGAUACUGCGGGGCUAGAGUGCAGAAGGGGCAACUGGAAUUCUCGGUGCAGCGGUGAAAUGCGUAGAUAUCGAGAGGAACACCUGCGGCGAAGGCGGGUUGCUGGGCUGACACUGACGCUGAGGCGCGAAAGCCAGGGGAGCGAACGGG
rnacentral:rRNA from 1 species